rnacentral:rRNA from 1 species
GUUCUGGGCCGCACGCACGCUACACUGACGGAGCCAGCGAGUACUCCCUUGGCCGGAAGGCCUGGGUAAUCUUGUUAAACUCCGUCGUGCUGGGGAUAGAGCAUUGCAAUUAUUGCUCUUCAACGAGGAAUCCCUAGUAAGCGCAAGUCAUCAGCUUGCGUUGAUUACGUCCCUGCCCUUUGUACACACCGCCCGUCGCUACUACCGAUUGAAUGGCUCAGUGAGGCGUCCGGACUGGCCCAGAGAGGUGGGCAACUACCACUCAGGGCCGGAAAGCUCUCCAAACUCGGUCAUUAGAGGAAGUAAAAGUCAUUAC